GUGAGAUCUUUUGUUUACAGCAAGUUGUUUUAUUUAAUCUUGAUUGUUCUUAUAGGAUCGAAUCUAGCCACUUCCUUCUUCCAGAGGAAUCCAUGAGUGAGGGAAGUGUGAUGUUUUUGAAGUUGUUGGAGUUGGUUGCAAGGUGCAUCAACAUCAGCAUCAGCUGAGAUAUUCUGGUGUGUGGUUCCUAGCAUGGAGGAAGAAAUCGAACAUAGAACACCCACAAAAGACAACCUCGUAACUUCUCACAAAGGCAGCCAAGAACAGUAAUGCC
rnacentral:sRNA from 1 species